UGCAGCCGUGUUUUUUUUUUGUUGUAUUUAUUUUAAAAAUACUUACUUUUAUUUUGACAUGAGUAAAACCGGAAGGAAGGUCUGUUGCACAGUGAGCUACAGACGAAGAAAACGCAGUGUGCGGCAGAGGAGGUUAACGCGCACAUGUGUCGGUGAUGGCAUCUUCUAGUUUUUCUUUAUUGUUGCUUAAUUUUUCAUGGUGUUUGCUGUAAAUGUGUACAAGUUGAAGAAUCAUAUUUUGACUAUGAAGAUUGCUUCUGGGGAAUGACUCUGCCGUUGAUUGAGAAGCAGGCUAAAGUGGUCAGUAUUUUUCUGUAUUCUUUAGCUUCAGUGCAAGCCAUGUGAUCCAUGCAAUUGAUUGCAAUGUUUUAUGUUGUCUUUUGUUUGUUUAUCUGAACUUUUAGUUCUACGGUGUUAAUAAACAUCUGUUAAGGAAACCGGAGUCUCGCAUUCAUUCAAUGGGCGGCACAGUAGAACACUGCUGUUUCGGGAAAGGCUCCGAGCGGAUGAAGACGGACUAGCUGCAGGCCACGUGCGGUAAUGGAGAGGCCACGUGAACUGUUCGUGUGACUUCAAAGGGCAAGCAGACAAGGCUACACAAGCGAGCACGUAGACGAGAACUGUCUCGAUAGUAGCGCAAGUACUGCCAUAAUUGCUCACGGACAUUUAAUGUGGGUUUUUUUUUUCUUAAAGUGGCAUUGGACAUUCCUUUUCCUGCAGUUGGUUAUCUAAUAAGAAUCCAAGAAACUAAGUAGAUAAGUAAAUGUAACCUUCCCCCAGUUGAAUCUAAGAUGGUUUAAGUUAAUAUCAAAGUAUUUUGCAUACAAGUGAGUUUUCAUAUGUAGACUUUGCCAAGAGGUAUUUAUUUUUACACUGUUAAUUGCCUCUUUAUUACUCGGUCAUUGAAGUGUGUUAUUAUGAAACUGUAGUGUUUAUUGUGCAGUUUUCAGAGGUAAAGUUAAGGUAAUCAAAGAGAUUUAUAUUUUAUUUUUCAACAUUUCAUGCUAUUUUAUAGUUGCACACAUUAGAGUUUAGAAUACAUUUAUUCAAAUUUUGACACAUUUAAAGCUGUACAUUCAAUAUGUCACGCUCAAAAGAAUACACUUUUCCUCCAACUGAAAAGGUCAGUCAUGGAGACCUUCAAGAGGACAGUGAAGCAGAGCAAACGACCCUAUCACAGCAAGCUGACGCUGUUAAGCAAGUUGAAGACACAGUGCAGGACAUACAAUCUCAGGUUGGUGAAGAUGACACACAACUGCCUCCUGUAAUUAGGAAAUCUGGACGUACACAAAGGCUAACUGAAAAGGGAAAGGCUCUGUUAGAUGAAAAAACGAAGGAUCUAAAUGCGAGUUUUGUAAAGAUGUACAGAAGGUGGAAGUAUCACAUCAAUGGCUUAAAACGGUCCAUUAAGAAUAAUGAUGCUGAUGAUCUGAUUGAUGAGAUUAUAAAUGCAAUCAAUACCAUCCAAGUUGACAUGGACAAUACUUACCUCAAAAUAAGAGCCAUUUCAAGUCCUGAACCUGACAUUCGAAGAAUGAAUGAUACAUGCCAGGCAUUCACUAGGAUUGCAAAUACAAAUGUUCAACAUUUCCGCAGUGGUGAUGAUUCAGAAUUCAUAUCUUGGCCUGAUGCUAAGUCAGUGUUUGACAGCACCGUAUCUAGUGUUUCCUCAGUUCAAACCGCUAAGUCAAAGGCUUCUUCCAAAGUAUCCAGACACUCUUCCAUCCUCUCCCUUAAUGCAAAACAAGCGGCAGCUGAAGUUGUAGCUACGCAAGAGGUGAUAAAGAUAACAAAUGCACAACGUCAGCAGAAAGAAGAAAUUCAAAGACUUGAGGUGGAAGACCAAAUCUUGAAGGCUGAAAGAGAAGCUAAAGAAAGGGAAAUUGAAGCAGAAAGUGCUAAAAAAAGAGCUCAGUUUAUAGCAGAAAGUGCUGAUAGAAAAAUAAAGCUGGAAGGGAAAAGAAGAGAAGUAGAGCGGCUAGAAGAACUUAAAGGGCAUGUUGCAGCUCAAGCAAGACUGCAGGUUUAUUCAGAAUCUGUCGAUCCACCACUUGCACUUAACCCUUUAAUGGAUCCAUUUUUCCCCUCCUAUCAAGCACCAGUCUCCCAAGCUCUUCCUGUGCAACAAGUCAAGUCCAGUCAAGUCCAUCACCCACAUGAGGUCACAGCCGCUAAAAACCCAAUCCCAUAUCCCUCCAUGUACACCUCAUGUUCUGCUCCACAGCCAGACACAUUUUCUCAAGUCCCUGUAAGUCAAGUCAUCACUCCAACUGCACUUCCACUUAUGCAACAAGCACCAACCACUCAGGCUCUGUUUACUUCUCAUGAAACUUCCAAUGAUCUUGUGAGAACUCUAGCUGAAGCAAUCACAGCUAAUCGAUUUCCUAUUCCAGAACCUGAAGUUUUCAAAGGAGAUCCUCUCAAGUACAACGAUUGGAAGCUUUCCUUUGCUACUCUGAUUGAUCGCAAGAACCUGCUAACUCAAGAAAAGCUCUUCUUUCUACGCAGGUAUGUCGGCGGCUCAGCCAAGAGAGCUAUUGAAGGCCAUUUCCUUGUAGGAACAGAAGCAGCUUAUCGUGCUGCCUGGAAUGUACUUGAAGAAAGAUUUGGUAAUCCAUUCAUAGUUGCCAAGUCAUAUCGGGACAAGAUACAUGCAUGGCAUAAAAUCGCCCCCAAAGACAGUGAAAAUCUUCGUGAGUUUGUUGAUUUCUUGAUCAGUGUUGAAGCAGCUAUGCCAUAUGUUCAAGGUCUACAAACUCUCAACGACUGUGUGGAAAACCAAAGGAUUACUGUCAAGCUCCCGGAUUGGCUGAGCUCACGCUGGAAUAGAGAAGCCACGAUUUAUCAAGAUGGACACCAAAUGUUCCCUGACUUCAAAUACUUCGUAAGAUUUCUCAACAUGGAGGCUCGAAUUGCAUGUAACCCCAUCACAUCAUUAUAUGCUGUCAAGCCUACUGAACAAGAAAGAUCAAAGCCAACCGAACGAGAACAGUUUAAGUAUCAACGAAAUCAAAACUUGAGUGCUAAGACUUUUACCAUUAAUACAAGUGAGAAGACAAGCAGCACGUGCAUGUUUUGCAAAAGGAAAGGCCAUACUCUCCAUAGGUGUCUCAAGAUUCGGGAAAAACCAGUUGAAGAAAGAGUUAAGUUUGUACAAUUGGAGAAAUUAUGUUUUGGCUGCCUUGGGAUUGGCCAUAACUCCAGAGCUUGUACAUCCAGGAGUGUAUGUGACCUAUGUGGAAAACGUCACCCCACUUGCUUGCAUCAAGAUCGUGAGAAGAAAGACCAAGAGCAAGGAAACAAGUACCAACAGUCUGAACCGAUUGAAAUACAACAAGCUACUUCUAAUCGAGUUGUGCAAGAGAAGAGCACCACCUAUACUUCAUCUAUCGUUCCAGUCUAUGUCUCCACGACAAUGGAACCAGACAAGGAAGUUUUAGUGUAUGCUUUACUUGAUAGUCAGAGCGACACCACGUUCAUUCUGAAGGAGGCAGCUGUAACAUUGGGUGCCAAGAGAGAGCCAGUAAAACUCAAAGUGUCCACGAUAACAUCAAAAACAAAGGUGGUGAAUAGCCAAAAGGUGCAAGGACUACAGGUAAGAGGCAUCAGCUCUGACACUAAAAUCAAACUCCCAACAACUUAUACCAGAGAUUACAUACCAGCAAACAGAUCCCAUAUACCCACAAGUACAACUGCAAGAUCCUGGCCUCACUUAGAGCAUUUGGCGGAUGAGAUGUCUCCUGAGCUUGACUGUGAAGUGGGAUUGUUAAUCGGCUAUAACUGUCCACAAGCCUUACUUCCCAGAGAGGUCAUCAUGGGCAAUGAAACCCAGCCAUAUGCACAAAGGUCUGUGUUGGGUUGGAGCAUUAUUGGCUACAGCAGACCUGUAAUUGACUAUGCUGAUGAAGAUGAAAUUGGUGUGAGUCACCGGAUCAUCAUAAAGAAAGUUCAGCCAGCCACUAAGCCCUCUUCUGAGCUCAAGUCUGAGGUUCAUUUUGUUUAUAGGACUCAAGUGAAGGAAAUGAUCACUCCAGCAGAUAUACUCAAGGUCUUUGAGUCAGAUUUUACUGAGAAGUUCAGUGAAGAAUCUCUAAUCUCACAAGAAGAUAUUAAGUUCUUGGUGAAGCUAAAGGAGAGAAUCAAGCAGAAGGCAAAUGGGCAUUACGAAAUGCCAUUGCCUUUCAAGGAAGAGAGGCCAAGUCUGCCAAACAACAAGGUGUGUGCAGAACAUAGACUCAAAUGUCUGGGGAAGCGUCUUAAGAAAGACAGUCAAUAUCACAAGGAUUAUGUGGCCUUUAUGGAGGACGUAAUAGCAAGAGGUGACGCUGAAAAGGUUCCAGAGUCAGAGGUGAUCAAUCAGAACACGUGGUAUAUCCCUCACCAUGGGGUUUACCACCCCCAAAAGCCAGGAAAGAUUCGUGUGGUAUUUGAUUGUUCAGCUAAGUUUCAGAAUACAUCAUUGAAUGAGCAUCUACUCACCGGCCCAGACCUUACAAAUACCCUUGUAGGGGUCUUGUGUCGUUUCCGCAAAGGACAAGUAGCCAUCAUGUGUGAUGUAGAGCGGAUGUUCCAUCAAUUUCAUGUUGCACCAAUGGAUCAAGACUAUCUCAGGUUUUUGUGGUGGGAAAGAGGCAAUAUGGAAGCUCCACCGUCAGUGUUCCGCAUGAAAGUUCACUUGUUCGGCGCUGCAUCGUCACCUGGAUGCGCAAACUUUGGGCUCAAACACCUUGCUGCAGAAGGAGAAGGCAAGUUCAGUGAAGCUACUGUAAGGUUUAUACAACGCAACUUUUAUGUUGACGAUGGACUAACAAGUUUGGACAGUGAAGAAGAAGCUAUCAAGCUUGUUAGAGAAGCAAGAGACCUCUGCAGCACCGGUAAACUCCGCUUACACAAGUUCAUCAGCAAUAACAAGAAGGUUCUUGCCACAAUUCCAAAGCAAGAACUUGCUGAAGUUGUAGCGGACCUGGACAUGGCCUUGGGUGAGCACAAGAUGGAACGGGCUCUCGGGGUCCAAUGGUGCAUUAGCUCGGAUAAGUUCCAGUUCAAAGUGAAGGUAAAAGAGCAUCCUUUUACCAGAAGAGGAGUACUGUCAACAGUGGCCUCAAUUUUUGAUCCACUUGGAUUUGUGGCACCUAUUCUUUUGAAGGGUAAACAGAUACUACAAAGGAUGUGCCAGGAAAAGGUAGGAUGGGAUGACCCACUUCCUGACGACCUUAGGCCACAUUGGGAAGCAUGGCUCCAAGACCUUCAUAGUCUGUCCUCGGUAGAGAUACCACGGCAUUACAUACCAUUGGCAGCCAAGGAUGUUCGUCAGUGUGAACUUCACCAUUUCUCCGAUGCCAGUGUCUCUGGCUAUGGAAUGUGUUCUUACCUUAGAGUUGUUUCGAAGUCUGAAGAAGUCCAUUGCGCUCUUGUUAUGGGCAAGGCAAGGGUUGCACCAACUAAGAUAACAACUAUCCCAAGGCUGGAACUCUCAGCUGCGGUCGUGGCCACAAGGACAAGUGAUCUGCUAAGGAGAGAAAUGGAGAUUAAAGAUCUGCAAGAAUACUUUUGGACUGAUUCAAAGGUCGUUCUUGGUUAUAUUAACAAUGAUGAAAGGCGAUUUCAUGUAUUUGUAGCCAAUCGGAUUCAGCAGAUUAAGUCGAGCACGGAUCCAAGUCAAUGGCAAUAUGUUGCAUCUGACAGUAACCCGGCUGACCAUGCCUCGCGCGGGCUCAACGCAAAGGAGCUUGUAGAGUCUAACUGGUUCACUGGACCUAGUUUCUUGUGGCAAAAGGACCUCCAUAAAGAAGAGAUUAAGGUGGAAGAACUCAAUGAGGAUGACCCAGAAAUCAGAAGAGCACAUGUUCACACAACCAUAGCAAAUAAGGAAAGGUCCCUAUCAGACCGACUUCAGAAGUUUUCAGACUGGAAGAGGGUAAUAAGAGCCAUAGCAAGACUUAAGCGUCUUGCAAAGGAGGUGAAAGGUCUUAAAAUAAGAUCCAAUGAAGUUACGGCACUUGAUGAGAGAAUGGAUGCUGAAAAAUUCAUAUUCCGUGCAGUUCAAGAAGAAGCGUUCAAGGAUGAAAUCAAGGCUCUUAAACAAAAGGGUGAUGUACAAAGGAGCAAGUCAACCGAACUGCAUAAGUUGAACCCCUUUAUGGACAGCCAAGAUAUCCUGAGGGUGGGAGGUAGAUUGACACAAGCAACGCUUCACCCUCAUGUCAAACACCCAGCUAUCCUUCCCAAAGGACACCAUGUGUCUCGGUUGUUGAUAAAACACUAUCAUGAGAAGGUGAAGCAUCAGGGUCGUGGAAUGACCAUCAAUGAACUACGCUCCAGUGGGAUUUGGAUCCUUGGAUGUAGUAGUGAAGUGUCAUCACUCAUUUUCAAGUGCAUCAAAUGCAGAAAGCUCAGAAGGUGUAGUCAAGAACAAAAAAUGGCCGACCUUCCACCAGAGAGGAUGGAAGCUACUCCUCCAUUUACUUAUAGUGGUAUGGAUUGCUUCGGACCAUUUUAUGUUAAAGAUGGAAGAAAAGACCUGAAGAGAUAUGGGCUUCUAUUCACCUGCAUGUGUUCACGUGCCAUCCACAUUGAGGUGCUGGAUGACCUUUCCACUGAUGCCUUCCUAAAUGCGUUGCGCUGUUUUAUUGCCAUAAGAGGCAAUGUAAGCCAGCUUCAAAGUGAUCAAGGCACAAACUUCGUGGGAGCACGCAAUGAAUUCCAAGAAUUAAUGAAAGGGAUGGAGCGAGAACAUGUGAAAGAGCUAGGAUGCAACUUUGUCAUGAACCCACCUGCUUCCAGUCACAUGGGCGGCGUCUGGGAGAGGCAGAUUCGGACCGUGAGAAGUGUCCUCACAUCUAUCCUAGACCAGUCUGCUGGAAGAUUAGACAGCUCUUCAUUAAGAACAUUCCUGUACGAAGUGAUGGCUAUAGUGAAUAGUCGACCAUUGACCACAGAACAUCUCAAUGAUCCUUCAGGACCUGAACCCCUAACACCAAACCACAUAUUGACGAUGAAAUCGUCAAUAAUCGCUCCACCACCUGGUGAGUUUGUAAGGGAAGAUCUCUAUCUUCAGAAAAGAUGGAAGAGAGUACAGUUCUUGUGCAAUGAAUUUUGGACCAGGUGGAGAAAGGAGUAUUUGCUGAAUCUGCAGCAGAGGAGCAAAUGGAACAAGGAAAGGAGAAAUGCUAAAGUGAAUGACAUUGUCCUGUUGCAAGAUGAUGGCUCACCAAGAACUCAGUGGAAGCUUGCGAAGGUAGUUGAAGUCUUCCAAGGAGCUGACGGAAGAGUCCGAAAACUCAAGCUGUUACUUAGUGACACAACACUAGACAGUAAAGGCACACGCUCAAAUAAGCCACUUUACUUAGAAAGGUCAAUACACAAAACAGUAUUAUUGCUUGAGGCUGAGUAAGUAGGUUAGUUCUUCAAUAUCGUUUUGUUUAUAAUUGAAGGUGUAUGUGUAUUUACAUCAAUGUUUUACAAGAUUCUGUUGACAAUGUUGUAAUGUGAAUCACAAGGUGUGAUGGUGGGAGUGUAAAUGCAGCCGUGUUUUUUUUUUUGUUGUAUUUAUUUUAAAAAUACUUACUUUUAUUUUGACAUGAGUAAAACCGGAAGGAAGGUCUGUUGCACAGUGAGCUACAGACGAAGAAAACGCAGUGUGCGGCAGAGGAGGUUAACGCGCACAUGUGUCGGUGAUGGCAUCUUCUAGUUUUUCUUUAUUGUUGCUUAAUUUUUCAUGGUGUUUGCUGUAAAUGUGUACAAGUUGAAGAAUCAUAUUUUGACUAUGAAGAUUGCUUCUGGGGAAUGACUCUGCCGUUGAUUGAGAAGCAGGCUAAAGUGUUCUACGGUGUUAAUAAACAUCUGUUAAGGAAACCGGAGUCUCGCAUUCAUUCAAUGGGCGGCA